GACGAACGCUGGCGGCGUGCUUAACACAUGCCAGUCGAACGGAAAGGCCCUGCUUUUGUGGGGUGCUCGAGUGGCGAACGGGUGAGUAACACGUGAGUAACCUGCCCUUGACUUUGGGAUAACUUCAGGAAACUGGGGCUAAUACCGGAUAGGAGCUCCUGCUGCAUGGUGGGGGUUGGAAAGUUUCGGCGGUUGGGGAUGGACUCGCGGCUUAUCAGCUUGUUGGUGGGGUAGUGGCUUACCAAGGCUUUGACGGGUAGCCGGCCUGAGAGGGUGACCGGCCACAUUGGGACUGAGAUACGGCCCAGACUCCUACGGGAGGCAGCAGUGGGGAAUAUUGCACAAUGGGCGGAAGCCUGAUGCAGCAACGCCGCGUGCGGGAUGACGGCCUUCGGGUUGUAAACCGCUUUCGCCUGUGACGAAGCGUGAGUGACGGUAAUGGGUAAGGAAGCACCGGCUAACUACGUG
rnacentral:rRNA from 1 species